UGCAGAACAAAGGAGAAUCUGAAAAACGAGGUCAGAAGCUCAGCAUCAGGUGUGCAGAGAAAGAUGAGAGCUUGGCCCGUGGGUGAAUGAUUGCUUUUCAUCCAUGGAGUUCAUUUUCAUAUUUGAAAUGCUGCAUGACCUGGUGGAUGGAGCCCUGAAUUGGAAAUCCAGGGUCCGUGGACUUUGGAAGAUCUUUGCUGCUGACACCGAGUUUUAUCCCCAGGUUGGUCCAGCUUUGGUGUCUUCCUAUCCCCCAUCACUCAGUUGGAAAACAUAGCUAUGAAUACCAAGUGGCUACAUCGCAUCUUCCAAUACUAGGUAAGAGAGAACCAAGACUCCAGGGAGAUCAACUGGCUCCAUGGGAUGGAGGAAAAUUAGGAUGGAGUUUCAGCUACAGUGAGUGCCAGAAGAUAAGGAA
rnacentral:lncRNA from 1 species